GACGAACGCUGGCGGCGUGCUUAACACAUGCAAGUCGAGCGGUAAGGCCCUUUCGGGGUACGACGAGCGGCGAACGGGUGAGUAACACGUGGGUGACCUCGCCCUCCAGCUCUGGGAGUAAGCCUGGGAAACGUAGGGUCGUAAUACUGGAUAUGACUCCACGGUGCAUGUCGUGGGGUGGAAAGCCUUGUGCGGCUGAGGAUGGGCCCGCGGCCUAUCAGCUUGUU
rnacentral:rRNA from 1 species